rnacentral:lncRNA from 1 species
GGGGUGAAACUCUGGGAUUUGGGGCGACCCUGCGGUGACUCUCAAGCCCCUUGGGUCACUCAGGGGGCUCAGGCCACUCUUGGGGUCAUUCAGGGGUCACUUGGGGUCACUCAGGGUCACUCGGGGUCACUCAUUGGUCACUCAGGGGUCACUCAGGGUCACUCAUUGGUCACUCAUUGGUCACUCAGGGUCACUCAGGGGUCACUCAUUGGUCACUCAGGGGUCACUCAGGGUCACUCAUUGGUCACUCAUUGGUCACUCAUUGGUCACUCAGGGUCACUCAGGGGUC